UACGUAGGGUGCAAGCGUUGUCCGGAAUUAUUGGGCGUAAAGAGCUCGUAGGCGGUUUGUCGCGUCUGCUGUGAAAACUCGGGGCUUAACUCCGGGCCUGCAGUGGGUACGGGCAGACUAGAGUGCGGUAGGGGAGACUGGAAUUCCUGGUGUAGCGGUGAAAUGCGCAGAUAUCAGGAGGAACACCAGUGGCGAAGGCGGCUCACUGGCCCGUAACUGACGCUGAGGUGCGAAAGCGUGGGGAGCAAACAGG
rnacentral:rRNA from 1 species